rnacentral:rRNA from 1 species
GGUUAAGCGACUAAGCGUACACGGUGGAUGCCCUGGCAGUCAGAGGCGAUGAAGGACGUGCUAAUCUGCGAUAAGCGUCGGUAAGGUGAUAUGAACCGUUAUAACCGGCGAUUUCCGAAUGGGGAAACCCAGUGUGUUUCGACACACUAUCAUUAACUGAAUCCAUAGGUUAAUGAGGCGAACCGGGGGAACUGAAACAUCUAAGUACCCCGAGGAAAAGAAAUCAACCGAGAUUCCCCCAGUAGCGGCGAGCGAACGGGGAGCAGCCCAGAGCCUGAAUCAGUGUGUGUGUUAGUGGAAGCGUCUGGAAAGGCGCGCGAUACAGGGUGACAGCCCCGUACACAAAAAUGCACAUACUGUGAGCUCGAUGAGUAGGGCGGGACACGUGGUAUCCUGUCUGAAUAUGGGGGGACCAUCCUCCAAGGCUAAAUACUCCUGACUGACCGAUAGUGAACCAGUACCGUGAGGGAAAGGCGAAAAGAACCCCGGCGAGGGGAGUGAAAAAGAACCUGAAACCGUGUACGUACAAGCAGUGGGAGCACGCUUCGGCGUGUGACUGCGUACCUUUUGUAUAAUGGGUCAGCGACUUAUAUUCUGUAGCAAGGUUAACCGAAUAGGGGAGCCGAAGGGAAACCGAGUCUUAACUGGGCGUUAAGUUGCAGGGUAUAGACCCGAAACCCGGUGAUCUAGCCAUGGGCAGGUUGAAGGUUGGGUAACACUAACUGGAGGACCGAACCGACUAAUGUUGAAAAAUUAGCGGAUGACUUGUGGCUGGGGGUGAAAGGCCAAUCAAACCGGGAGAUAGCUGGUUCUCCCCGAAAGCUAUUUAGGUAGCGCCUCGUGAAUUCAUCUCCGGGGGUAGAGCACUGUUUCGGCAAGGGGGUCAUCCCGACUUACCAACCCGAUGCAAACUGCGAAUACCGGAGAAUGUUAUCACGGGAGACACACGGCGGGUGCUAACGUCCGUCGUGAAGAGGGAAACAACCCAGACCGCCAGCUAAGGUCCCAAAGUCAUGGUUAAGUGGGAAACGAUGUGGGAAGGCCCAGACAGCCAGGAUGUUGGCUUAGAAGCAGCCAUCAUUUAAAGAAAGCGUAAUAGCUCACUGGUCGAGUCGGCCUGCGCGGAAGAUGUAACGGGGCUAAACCAUGCACCGAAGCUGCGGCAGCGACGCUGAUGCGUUGUUGGGUAGGGGAGCGUUCUGUAAGCCUGCGAAGGUGUGCUGUGAGGCAUGCUGGAGGUAUCAGAAGUGCGAAUGCUGACAUAAGUAACGAUAAAGCGGGUGAAAAGCCCGCUCGCCGGAAGACCAAGGGUUCCUGUCCAACGUUAAUCGGGGCAGGGUGAGUCGACCCCUAAGGCGAGGCCGAAAGGCGUAGUCGAUGGGAAACAGGUUAAUAUUCCUGUACUUGGUGUUACUGCGAAGGGGGGACGGAGAAGGCUAUGUUGGCCGGGCGACGGUUGUCCCGGUUUAAGCGUGUAGGCUGGUUUUCCAGGCAAAUCCGGAAAAUCAAGGCUGAGGCGUGAUGACGAGGCACUACGGUGCUGAAGCAACAAAUGCCCUGCUUCCAGGAAAAGCCUCUAAGCAUCAGGUAACAUCAAAUCGUACCCCAAACCGACACAGGUGGUCAGGUAGAGAAUACCAAGGCGCUUGAGAGAACUCGGGUGAAGGAACUAGGCAAAAUGGUGCCGUAACUUCGGGAGAAGGCACGCUGAUAUGUAGGUGAAGUCCCUCGCGGAUGGAGCUGAAAUCAGUCGAAGAUACCAGCUGGCUGCAACUGUUUAUUAAAAACACAGCACUGUGCAAACACGAAAGUGGACGUAUACGGUGUGACGCCUGCCCGGUGCCGGAAGGUUAAUUGAUGGGGUCAGCGCAAGCGAAGCUCUUGAUCGAAGCCCCGGUAAACGGCGGCCGUAACUAUAACGGUCCUAAGGUAGCGAAAUUCCUUGUCGGGUAAGUUCCGACCUGCACGAAUGGCGUAAUGAUGGCCAGGCUGUCUCCACCCGAGACUCAGUGAAAUUGAACUCGCUGUGAAGAUGCAGUGUACCCGCGGCAAGACGGAAAGACCCCGUGAACCUUUACUAUAGCUUGACACUGAACAUUGAGCCUUGAUGUGUAGGAUAGGUGGGAGGCUUUGAAGUGUGGACGCCAGUCUGCAUGGAGCCGACCUUGAAAUACCACCCUUUAAUGUUUGAUGUUCUAACGUUGACCCGUAAUCCGGGUUGCGGACAGUGUCUGGUGGGUAGUUUGACUGGGGCGGUCUCCUCCUAAAGAGUAACGGAGGAGCACGAAGGUUGGCUAAUCCUGGUCGGACAUCAGGAGGUUAGUGCAAUGGCAUAAGCCAGCUUGACUGCGAGCGUGACGGCGCGAGCAGGUGCGAAAGCAGGUCAUAGUGAUCCGGUGGUUCUGAAUGGAAGGGCCAUCGCUCAACGGAUAAAAGGUACUCCGGGGAUAACAGGCUGAUACCGCCCAAGAGUUCAUAUCGACGGCGGUGUUUGGCACCUCGAUGUCGGCUCAUCACAUCCUGGGGCUGAAGUAGGUCCCAAGGGUAUGGCUGUUCGCCAUUUAAAGUGGUACGCGAGCUGGGUUUAGAACGUCGUGAGACAGUUCGGUCCCUAUCUGCCGUGGGCGCUGGAGAACUGAGGGGGGCUGCUCCUAGUACGAGAGGACCGGAGUGGACGCAUCACUGGUGUUCGGGUUGUCAUGCCAAUGGCACUGCCCGGUAGCUAAAUGCGGAAGAGAUAAGUGCUGAAAGCAUCUAAGCACGAAACUUGCCCCGAGAUGAGUUCUCCCUGACCCUUUAAGGGUCCUGAAGGAACGUUGAAGACGACGACGUUGAUAGGCCGGGUGUGUAAGCGCAGCGAUGCGUUGAGCUAACCGGUACUAAUGAACCGUGAGGCUUAACCUU